rnacentral:lncRNA from 1 species
CUUUCAGAAAAGUCAUAUUGUUCUCAAAUGACCUAGCUUUUACCUUCGUUAACUCAAACCUGCACCCAUCUGAAGUGAAACCAGCAACCAUUUAACAGCAAACAGUAGCAGCAGCAUGCACCAAAAGAGAAUGGAAAGUGAAAAGAACACAACAGAUCAUUUUAAAAGUGUGUCAAUUGCCUGGUUCUCCACUGACAGCUAAAAUUAAACAAAAAAGUGAAUUCCGUUCUACAGUGUGACCAUCUUAUGGGAACACUAGAGGAUAUCCAUAGACAGCAGAGAAAAAAUAGCAAAAUAGAUAUUUUGACUCACAGAAAAUGAAUGUUUGCAAAGAUUCACCAAGAAAUAAAGUCAACCAAAAAAGCAAAGUCAUGGAAAAGAAAUGCAAAUCUCCACAAAAGGCAGCUUUUCAGGGCUAUUCCUGUCUACACGCCCUCUGAAUAACCAUCUCAAAAUAUGUUCAAGAAGUAUAUUUUGGAGGUGGCAUUGCAGAUGGGAUCUCAAAGCCAAGUCUCUACAUAUGAUACAGGCAAACAGAUGUUUUGAAUAAGUCUCAUGAGAUCUGAUGGUUUCAAAAGAUCACAAGCUCUCUCUUUGCCUGUUGCCAUCCAUGUAAGACAUGACUUGCUCCUCCUUGCCUUCUGCCAUGAUUGUGAGGCCUCUCCAGCCACAUGGAAUUUUUUUCAUCCAGUGACUACCAAAUGGAGGAAUUAUCGUCUUGAAGGGGAACGUAUCAAUCACUUAAGGAAACUAGAUGGGAGACUGAAGGUGGCAAAAGGAGAGGCAUAGCAAAUGGAAGAAGGUGUCCUAGAGUCACUCUUAAACUUUGAGAAGUUUGAGAUAUUAGGUUGGUGCAAGAGUAAUUGCAGG